rnacentral:rRNA from 1 species
AUGGAGCGCGCGACGCAGUCCCUUGUGAGCAAUGUUGGGCAGCUGAUGGCCAACGAGUUCUGGCUGCUCCGCGCCGUGGGCAGCGAGGUCGGCGAGCUGAGGGACGAGCUGGCCACCAUGAACGCCGUCCUCCGGAUGCAGUCCGAGACCGAGGACGGCGCCGUGGACCACUUCAUCCGGGAGUGGAUGAAGCAGGUGCUCGAGCUGGCCUAUGACGCUGACGACUGCGUCGACCUCUACAUACUCCGCAUCAAGCGCCGCCCGAGCGACGGCUUCCUCGUCAGGUCCAAGCGCCUGCUCGCGACUCUUUUCCCUCGCCGUCUCCUCGCCGGCAGCAUCAGGACCCUGCGCGCCCGAGCCAUCGCCAUCAGCGAGCGUCAUGCUCGCUACAGCGCUAGCUGCCAGGCACUACGGCUGGAGGCCAAGUUCGACCGCCAAGCGCAAGUGUCCGUGUCUCAGGCGUUCGACGGCGGGAACGACCUGCGGGCACUGCUGAAGCGCGUUCUUGAGCAGAUUGUCACCGUCAAGUCAAAGAAUGAGAAAGUCACCGAGGAAGAAGAGAAACAGGAUUCCGUGGGUGACAUUGACGGAAUGGAUGUGGAGAAGCUCACCAGCACGCUCAAGGAACAACUCAAGGACAAAAGGUACCUUAUUGUGAUUGAUGAUGUAUGGACAAUAGCAGCGUGGGCUGCAAUUCUGUCCAAAUUGCCAAAAAGCACAUGUGGCAGCAGAAUCAUUGUGACCACUCGGAUAGAUAGUGUGGCAAAAGAAUGCAGUGGAGGUAGUGUAGGUAAAUACUACAGUAUCAAGCCGCUCAAUUUGGAAGACUCCGAGAAGUUGUUUAUUAGGAGAGCAUUUGGCCCCAAGAGUACCUCUUGCCCAGGUGAGCUGAAAGCUGCAAUGGAUAAUAUUUUGAAGAAAUGCAAUGGACUACCGUUGGCCAUUGUUAGCAUUGGAAGCCUUUUGGCAAGCUAUUCCUCUCCAGAGAGCAGCCAUAUGAGGGAAACAAUUUGUAGAUCAAUUGGUGCACAGAUGGAGAGCAACCCAACCCUUGUGGGAAUGAGGAAAAUCAUUACACUUAGCUUCAACUACCUGCCUCAUGACCUCAAGCGUUGCAUGAUGUACCUCUGCAUUUUUCCAGAGGAUUACCAGAUCAGCAAGGAUCGGCUCCUGAGAAGAUGGAUUGCCGAAGGAUUGAUACCUGAGAAGCGGGGGCUUACUUUGAUGGAGACUGCAGAGGCCUACUUCAAUGAGCUAGUGAAUAGGAGUAUGAUUGACCAAGCCGGCUGUAUAGUCACAUACUAUAAUAGGGUGGAUGUGUGUCGGGUGCACGACAUGAUGCUUGAGGUCAUGGUGUCCAAAUCCCUGGAGGCUAACUUUGUUAGCUUGGUAGGGGUUCAGUAUGAAGGGAUGUCAUAUGAUAUUGUCCGCCGCCUUUCCGUCCAUGAUUCAGAAAAUGGGGGGAAAUACUCUCAAUCCGAGAGAACAGCAACGGGGAGAGGUAUGGUGAACAUUAUUGAGGGGAUGAACGUGCAGCAUGUUCGAUCAUUGACCACAUUUCAGUACGAAGGCCACAAGUUGCUACUUGAUCAACUAGGAAAGUUCAAACUGCUGAGAGUACUUGAUCUGGAAGAUUGCAAGGACCUAUUGAACAAGCAUUUGAGGUACAUUUGCAAGAUGUGA